rnacentral:rRNA from 1 species
GGGUGGUAAUGCCGGAUGCUCCGGUUGGAUGCAUGUCCUUCCGGGAAAGAUCCGUCGGUAUGGGAUGGGGUCGCGUCCUAUCAGCUUGAUGGCGGGGUAACGGCCCACCAUGGCUUCGACGGGUAGCCGGCCUGAGAGGGCGACCGGCCACAUUGGGACUGAGAUACGGCCCAGACUCCUACGGGAGGCAGCAGUGGGGAAUAUUGCACAAUGGGCGCAAGCCUGAUGCAGCGACGCCGCGUGCGGGAUGGAGGCCUUCGGGUUGUAAACCGCUUUUGAUCGGGAGCAAGCCCUUCGGGGUGAGUGUACCUUUCGAAUAAGCACCGGCUAACUACGUGCCAGCAGCCGCGGUAAUACGUAGGGUGCAAGCGUUAUCCGGAAUUAUUGGGCGUAAAGGGCUCGUAGGCGGUUCGUCGCGUCCGGUGUGAAAGCCCAUCGCUUAACGGUGGGUCUGCGCCGGGUACGGGCGGGCUGGAGUGCGGUAGGGGAGACUGGAAUUCCCGGUGUAACGGUGGAAUGUGUAGAUAUCGGGAAGAACACCA